AGAGUUUGAUCCUGGCUCAGGAGGAACGCUGGCGGCGUGCCUAAUACAUGCAAGUAGAACGCUGAAGAGAGGAGCUUGCUCUUCUUGGAUGAGUUGCGAACGGGUGAGUAACGCGUAGGUAACCUGCCUUGUAGCGGGGGAUAACUAUUGGAAACGAUAGCUAAUACCGCAUAACAAUGAAUGACACAUGUCAUUUAUUUGAAAGGGGCAAUUGCUCCACUACAAGAUGGACCUGCGUUGUAUUAGCUAGUAGGUGAGGUAACGGCUCACCUAGGCGACGAUACAUAGCCGACCUGAGAGGGUGAUCGGCCACACUGGGACUGAGACACGGCCCAGACUCCUACGGGAGGCAGCAGUAGGGAAUCUUCGGCAAUGGGGGCAACCCUGACCGAGCAACGCCGCGUGAGUGAAGAAGGUUUUCGGAUCGUAAAGCUCUGUUGUAAGUCAAGAACGAGUGUGAGAGUGGAAAGUUCACACUGUGACGGUAGCUUACCAGAAAGGGACGGCUAACUACGUGCCAGCAGCCGCGGUAAUACGUAGGUCCCGAGCGUUGUCCGGAUUUAUUGGGCGUAAAGCGAGCGCAGGCGGUUUGAUAAGUCUGAAGUUAAAGGCUGUGGCUCAACCAUAGUUCGCUUUGGAAACUGUCAAACUUGAGUGCAGAAGGGGAGAGUGGAAUUCCAUGUGUAGCGGUGAAAUGCGUAGAUAUAUGGAGGAACACCGGUGGCGAAAGCGGCUCUCUGGUCUGUAACUGACGCUGAGGCUCGAAAGCGUGGGGAGCGAACAGGAUUAGAUACCCUGGUAGUCCACGCCGUAAAC
rnacentral:rRNA from 1 species